GUGCUCGCUUCAGCAGCACAUAUACUAACAUUGGAAAGAUACAGAGAUAAUUAACAUGGUUCCUGCACAAGGAUGACAUGCAAAUUCAUAAAGUGUUCCAUAUUUUU